GACGAACGCUGGCGGCGUGCCUAACACAUGCAAGUCGAACGAGGUCCAUCCUUCGGGAGAAGACCUAGUGGCGAACGGGUGAGUAACACGUGAGAAACCUGCCCCGAAGACCGGGAUAACCCUCCGAAAGGAGAGCUAAUACCGGAUGCCCCCACCGAGCCGCAUGGCUUGGUGAGGAAAUGGAUUCCGCUUCGGGAGGGUCUCGCGGCCUAUCAGCUAGUUGGUGGGGUAACGGCCCACCAAGGCAUCGACGGGUAGCUGGUCUGAGAGGACGAUCAGCCACACUGGGACUGAGACACGGCCCAGACUCCUACGGGAGGCAGCAGUGGGGAAUCUUGCGCAAUGGGCGAAAGCCUGACGCAGCAACGCCGCGUGGGGGAUGAAGGCUCUCGGGUUGUAAACCCCUUUCAGCAGGGACGAAAUCAGACGGUACCUGCAGAAGAAGCUCCGGCUAACUACGUGCCAGCAGCCGCGGUAAU
rnacentral:rRNA from 1 species